CCGUUGUCGGUGCCGUAGGGAAGCCGUGAAGCGAGCCACCUGGGAAGUACGGCCGCAAGGCUGAAACUUAAAGAAAUUGGCGGGGGAGCACCACAACGGGUGGAGCUUGCGGUUUAAUUGGAUUCAACGCCGGAAAUCUUACCGGGACCGACAGCAAUAUGAAGGCCAGGCUGAAGACUUUGCCGGAUUAGCUGAGAGGUGGUGCAUGGCCGUCGUCAGUUCGUACUGUGAAGCAUCCUGUUAAGUCAGGCAACGAGCGAGACCCACGCCCACAGUUGCCAGCGUACUCUCUGGAGUGACGGGUACACUGUGGGGACCGCCGCUGCUAAAGCGGAGGAAGGAAUGGGCAACGGUAGGUCAGUAUGCCCCGAAUAUCCCGGGCUACACGCGAGCUACAAUGGUUGGUACAAUGGGUAUCUACCCCGAAAGGGGACGGGAAUCUCCUAAAACCAAUCUUAGUUCGGAUUGAGGGCUGCAACUCGCCCUCAUGAAGCUGGAAUCCGUAGUAAUCGCGUUUCAACAGAACGCGGUGAAUACGUCCCUGCUCCUUGCACACACCGCCCGUCAAACCACCCGAGUAGGGUCUGAAUGAGAGCGCUUUCUUUGGAGGCGUUCGAAUUUGGGCUUUGCAAGGGGGGUUAAGUCGUAACAAGGUAGCCGUA
rnacentral:rRNA from 1 species